rnacentral:tRNA from 1 species
CCGAUGUAGCUCAGGGGUAGAGCGCAUCCUUGGUAAGGAUGAGGUCGUGAGUUCAAAUCUCACCAUCGG